rnacentral:piRNA from 1 species
UGAGAUAAAAUGAUCUUGCCUAACUUUCU